GAUGAACGCUAGCGGCAGGCCUAAUACAUGCAAGUCAAGGGGCUCGUAAGAGCACCGGCGGACGGGUGCGUAACGCGUACACAACGUACCUCAGAGCGGGGGAUAGCAUUGGGAAACUGGUGGUAAACCCCCAUGGUGUUGUAGAAUGGCAUCAUUUUACUAACUAAAGGUUACACUCUGAGAUCGGUGUGCGUCUGAUUAGCUAGUUGGCGGGGUAACGGCCCACCAAGGCGGACGAUCAGUAGGGGGUGGUGAGAGCAUGACCCCCACCAUGGUACGUNAGACACGGACCCGAACCUACCUA
rnacentral:rRNA from 1 species